CUUAUGAAACAUCAAAAUAAAUAUAACAUGAACAUGCAUGCAAAGAGAAUCUUGCUUACAGGUCUUUUUCAUUGUUUAGUGUUACGGACGUGUUGAAUAUCUGAAAAUCUCGACAUGAGUGAUCCACCACAAAAACAGGAGUGCGGAGAUUCUGGUUCUGGCUCCGAGAGCUCAGGAGAUGAAGGUGGAAAGAAGCAUGGAAAGGGCCAAGGCAAAGGGAAAGGGAAAGGACAAGGUCAGGGACAUGGACAGGGGCCACGGACACGGUCAAGGAGGUGAACAUGGGAAAAAGGAUGUGAAAAAGGAAAAAAAAUGAGCUCAAAGCCUGAGGCUGGGCAUUCCAUUCCAUUUAUGUCCUCAUGACUUACACAACAAAACUUGUUUCAACUCAAUUUUGCAUACAAAAAAUGAAAUUAAAAACCACCCUAAAAGAG